rnacentral:misc_RNA from 1 species
GUAGGUGAACCUGCGGAAGGAUCAUUAAAGAAUCGCCUCGUUUUUUGAAAUGGGUUCUAUUCCCAAACCGUGUAUACAUACCUUUGUUGCUUUGGCAGGCCGCCGCCUAGGCGUUGGCUCCGGCCGACUGCGCCUGCCAGAGGACCCAAACUCGUUUGUUUAGUGAUGUCUGAGUACUAUAUAAUAGUUAAAACUUUCAACAACGGAUCUCUUGGUUCUG